rnacentral:rRNA from 1 species
ACGCAGUGCUCAGCUUCUGUUGCGUCGGAAAGUUUCAUGAACCUUAUCACUUAGAGGAAGGAGAAGUCGUAACAAGGUUUCCGUAGGUGAACCUGCGGAAGGAUCAUUC